rnacentral:rRNA from 1 species
GAUGAACGCUGACAGAAUGCUUAACACAUGCAAGUCAUUGGCGAAGCUGCGCUUGCGCAGUCUAGCCAAGGCGGACGGGUGAGUAACGCGUAAGGAACUUGCCCUGCAGACAGGGAUAACAGACGGAAACGACUGAUAACACCUGGUAUUGUCAGGCUGGCGCAUGCCGGCCUGAUGAAAGGAGACGCUGCAGGAGAGCCUUGCGUCCUAUUAGCUAGUUGGUGGGGUAACGGCCCACCAAGGCGAUGAUAGGUAGCCGGCCUGGGGGGGGGAACGGCCACAGGGGGACUGAGAUACGGCCCUUACUCCUACGGGAGGCAGCAGGGGGGAAUAUUGGACAAGGGGGGCAACCCUGAUCCAGCAAUUCUGUGUGCACGAAGAAGGUUUUCGGAUUGUAAAGUGCUUUCAGCAGGGAAGAAGAAAGUGAGGGUACCUGCAGAAGAAGCGACGGCUAAAUACGUG